rnacentral:rRNA from 1 species
AGUGAACGCUGGCGGUAGGCCUAACACAUGCAAGUCGAACGGCAGCACAGUAAGAGCUUGCUCUUACGGGUGGCGAGUGGCGGACGGGUGAGGAAUACAUCGGAAUCUACUUAUUCGUGGGGGAUAACGUAGGGAAACUUACGCUAAUACCGCAUACGACCUACGGGUGAAAGCAGGGGAUCUUCGGACCUUGCGCGAUUGAAUGAGCCGAUGUCGGAUUAGCUAGUUGGCGGGGUAAAGGCCCACCAAGGCGACGAUCCGUAGCUGGUCUGAGAGGAUGAUCAGCCACACUGGAACUGAGACACGGCCCAGACUCCUACGGGAGGCAGCAGUGGGGAAUAUUGGACAAUGGGCGCAAGCCUGAUCCAGCCAUACCGCGUGGGUGAAGAAGGCCUUCGGGUUGUAAAGCCCUUUUGUUGGGAAAGAAAAGCAGCAGGUUAAUACCCCGCUGUUCUGACGGUACCCAAAGAAUAAGCACCGGCUAACUUCGUG